rnacentral:lncRNA from 1 species
AUGAAAGCAAACCCCAGCAGGGGGAAGCUGGGGCCGUCUGCUGCGGCUUGCGCGCUCCCAUUUCUGUGCGCGGGAGAAAUGCUUCCAUUUUUCCAAGCUGAAAAUGAAGAAUCCCCAAUCGGCUUGGAAAGGCACUCUCCCGGCACAAUCCCUGCUGUGAAGGGGUCUCUCCACCUCCCCUUUUACAAAAAAGGCAAAAAACAAACAGUAAGUCGUCUUCUCAGUAUUUUCCACAGGCGCAACCAAACAAGGCAGGAAGCUUCCAAUUACAGGUCAUUAGCAAUAAUAAUAUUAAUAAUAAAGGUUUUUGCUCAAUACCCAGGGUUCUUUACAGAGAAGUUCCCAACGGAGGCACUCUGGAAUCAAGUCCCUGACGUUCCCUCUGCAUCUAGCCCCACGCUGCGAGGGCUGGGGCCCGGGGCCCGGGGGUCGGGGCUGAAGGGAGCACACCCCUUGGAAGGUGCAGCCCGGAUCAUUAGCACAUUUGCCAGAACACCCCAGGCUGCCAUCUCCUACCCACUCCCUCCCCGAGACUCGUUUCUUUUUUUUUUUUUUUUCUGGAGAUUUAAGUCAAGGCCAGGAGUCAAAGCUGGGGUAAGUGGCCACCAUGGGAGUCCCCCUCUGCACACUACGGCUUUGGAAAGAGCAAGGGUGCCCUUGGCGUCCGGCGUGGGCUGCUGGGCUUGGCUCCUCGUCCCUGCCCCGUGGAGGGCUGCGGUCGAGAGGAAAGCCAGGGACCGGGGGUCUAGAAAGGGAACUGAAGGGCAGCUGGGAAAGAAGAGGGGAGAAGGUUGUGCUAUCAACAUCCUUACAGAUUGGGGAGCAGAGUGCAAAUUUGCGUAUAACAUUUAUAAGCUCUUGCCACAGGCAGCUGCUGUGAGCACCUCCUCUCACUUCCACAUUGACCCAAAAAGAAAUCACGACCUUUUUUUCUUUCUCUUUAAAGUGCAAAAAGCUCUCUGCUGCCCUAGAGAGGAUCUUUGGACCGGCCUGCUCAAUGCAAAAGAACGGGGGUGGGGGGCAGCUGACGGGGUGCAGCAGGGAGCUAGUGGCUGUGCAGGGGGAGAGCCAAAGCGUAGCAUUUCUCUAAGCUGAAGAACAAGGACUGAGUCACCAGACUAUACACAAAGACAAGACCCUCGCAGGCCGUUGGAAGCGCAGGGACCCGGCCUGGUCCUCAUCCUCCCCCCACCCCCCACCCCCCACCCCCCAGCUCUGUGGAAGCCUCAGGCUCCCUCCAAGCACACACACCCCGGGAAAAGCCCUCCUCAGAAAGAGAGAGAAAAAAGAAUCUCGGGCAAAGGGGGAAGAAGAGGAGAGGGGCUUCAGCAGGGGGACCUUGGGGCUGGAGCUCAGCCCGGGAGUCCUCCCCCCCCCCCCACAUGGCCACCCUG